rnacentral:sRNA from 1 species
AUAGCACUGGUGGCAGGGGCACUGGCCGCCGUCGUGGCUAGUUUGGGAUUGACACCCCUUGAAGCAGCUCGGAUCCGGGUCGUAGCAGAUCCACAACAAU